rnacentral:rRNA from 1 species
AUUGAACGCUGGCGGCAGGCCUAACACAUGCAAGUCGAGCGGAUGAGGAAAGCUUGCUUUUCGAUUCAGCGGCGGACGGGUGAGUAAUGCCUAGGAAUCUGCCUGUUAGUGGGGGAUAACUCGGGGAAACUCGGGCUAAUACCGCAUACGUCCUACGGGAGAAAGUGGGGGAUCUUCGGACCUCACGCUAACAGACGAGCCUAGGUCGGAUUAGCUAGUAGGUGAGGUAAUGGCGCACCUAGGCGACGAUCCGUAACUGGUCUGAGAGGAUGAUCAGUCACACUGGAACUGAGACACGGUCCAGACUCCUACGGGAGGCAGCAGUGGGGAAUAUUGGACAAUGGGCGAAAGCCUGAUCCAGCCAUGCCGCGUGUGUGAAGAAGGUCUUCGGAUUGUAAAGCACUUUAAGUUGGGAGGAAGGGUAUUCACCUAAUACGUGGGUACUUUGACGUUACCAACAGAAUAAGCACCGGCUAACUCUGUGCCAGCAGCCGCGGUAAUAC